rnacentral:ncRNA from 1 species
UAUUAUAAAAUUAUCUUAGGUGCCCCGAUUUUCGGGGAGAAUAGGGAAACCGGUAAGAAUCCGGUACGGACCCACCACUGUAAGGACGAGCUCUUGCCGAUCCACUGGCUUAUGCUGGGAAGGGGCAAUGAUGCGUUUGAGUCUUAAGUCAGGAGACCUGCCUGAGAUGAAAAAAGUCU